CACUCCAAAUUUGUAAUAGACACUUCUGAAGAGGCAUUUUCAUCAUAGUCAUACCAAUCAUCCUCUAAUACUAUUUCGUCAAAAAGUGUAUUACUUUCAGCACCAUUAGCUAUCCAUUCUCCCUGAGGAAUGAAUUCGACUAGUUCACAUCCUCUGCAUUCCAAUACGAGAACUUUUUUCGUCUCUUGAGAAUCAUUGUAAGGAGAGAAUGGCCCCUCUAUAACGAAAGAGCAAGUUUUGCGACAAUUUUUGCACGUCCAUAUGAGAUUAGCCUCGCCCUUGCUGCCAGGUAUGCUGUGAGUCUCGCUGCGGGAGAUUUCAAUGGCAUUGUCGUGAAUCUCUCGACAACCACUACAUUGGACUUUAAAAGCAUAAUAGAAGGAUUCUUCAUCCUUGGGAGCUAAAUUUUUCACACCAGUCAACUCAGCGUUUAAGUUAAGAGCAAAUUUUCCCAUAUUGCGAAAGAAACUCUAGGAAUGCAGCUUAACAAGCCGUUAUAUGUAAUAAAUUGAAAGAACAAGAAGAUAGUAGAGUAUGGGUAUGUUGUUCGAAACGAAUCUGUAUUUUGGAGGAUUAGAGUAAUUUGCCUUUUGGUGGAUUACGAUGGUGAAUGAAUGAAUAUGCAUGAAUAGAUACACCUAUUUUAAGUCCGUAGAAUGUGAGGGGCAGAAAAAAACUCAAUUAAAGCAUACUUUUCAAUGAAAUUAAAAAAUUACAGAAAUGCUAAAUUUGAAGUAAUUGGAUACGUUUUUCUCAUUGAAAUAAUAUAUUGAUGAAGAAUAUAACAUAGUCAAUUAUUAAAUGAGACUUGGCAAAAUCUAAAUAUCAGCUAAGAUAGCUGUUCAUUUGAGUGAAUUACUUGGAGUUUGCUUAGUGACGGAUACAUAGUUAGUCUAA